rnacentral:rRNA from 1 species
AUACAGAGGGUGCAAGCGUUAAUCGGAAUUACUGGGCGUAAAGCGCGCGUAGGCGGUUUGUUAAGUCGGAUGUGAAAUCCCUGGGCUCAACCUGGGAACUGCAUUCGAAACUGAUUGACUAGAGUAUGGUAGAGGGUGGUGGAAUUCCUAGUGUAGCGGUGAAAUGCGUAGAUAUUAGGGGGAACAUCAGUGGCGAAGGCGACCACCUGGACCAAUACUGACGCUGAGGUGCGAAAGCGUGGGGAGCAAACAGGAUUAGAAACCCCAGUAGUCC